GGAAGAUGAUUUGAAUGUUUAUAAUUUCGUAUGUGUGUUUAUGAAUUACAUCAAAACUUGAUUGUAUUUGAAUAUGGAUUAUCAUGUGAUGUAAAUGGAGGAUUUUGAGGAUGAAACUCAAAUAUGAAGUCUUUGUGUCUAUUUACUUGAGUGUCUUUAUUGCGAUUCGACGUUGUAGUUGAUUCGAUAGCAUUUUGGGAUAAAUGUAAUCUGAUUAGGAUAAUAUGGUGACAUGUAGUUAUGGACGUUAUAACCUUGGAAAAACCCGCAAUUGGAUGUAUGUGGUAAAUGUUAUCUAAAUGAAUUAUGUUUUUC